UACGAAGGGGGCUAGCGUUGCUCGGAAUCACUGGGCGUAAAGCGCACGUAGGCGGAUUGCUAAGUCAGGGGUGAAAUCCUGGAGCUCAACUCCAGAACUGCCUUUGAUACUGGCGAUCUUGAGUCCAGGAGAGGUGAGUGGAACUGCGAGUGUAGAGGUGAAAUUCGUAGAUAUUCGCAAGAACACCAGUGGCGAAGGCGGCUCACUGGCCCGGUACUGACGCUGAGGUGCGAAAGCGUGGGGAGCAAACAGGG
rnacentral:rRNA from 1 species